GCCUCAGGGAAAGAGAGCAGAAAUUGGUAGAGCUCGGACUAGAGCAAAGGUUUCCUGAUCCCAAAUCCUGCUGCCCUGGACCUUCUAGAAUGGUUGAAGACAGAGUCUGGGUCAGGAUUACAACUCGUGGAUGAAGAGACUGAGGCUCAGGGAGGCCACUUGUCCUGGGUAGACAGCCAGCAAGGACAGGCCCAUGUCCUCUCCACUGUGUGACCCUAUCACCGGGGAUGUCCCGACCAGGGCUAGCAUUCCACGAGGACAUCUGUAUGGAACCAUCAGACCAUCCCUGGCUGUAAAACACAAUAAGGCCAUGCCGGCAUGUCCCGGUGGAAGUGAGUCCUGUUGAUAUACAUAUACCUAUGGCUUAAUUAAAUU